GUAGAGAUCGGGAAGGAAUACCAGUGGCGAAGGCGGCCUUCUGGACUGACACUGACACUGAGGUGCGAAAGCGUGGGUAGCAAACAGGAUUAGAUACCCUGGUAGUCCACGCCGUAAACGAUGUCGACCAGCCGUUGGGUGCCUAGCGCACUUUGUGGCGAAGUUAACGCGAUAAGUCGACCGCCUGGGGAGUACGGCCGCAAGGUUAAAACUCAAAUGAAUUGACGGGGGCCCGCACAAGCGGUGGAGCAUGUGGUUUAAUUCGAUGCAACGCGAAGAACCUUACCUACUCUUGACAUCCUGCGAACUUGUGAGAGAUCACUUGGUGCCUUCGGGAGCGCAGAGACAGGUGCUGCAUGGCUGUCGUCAGCUCGUGUUGUGAAAUGUUGGGUUAAGUCCCGUAACGAGCGCAACCCUUGUCCUUAUUUGCCAGCGGGUAAUGCCGGGAACUCUAAGGAGACUGCCGGUGACAAACCGGAGGAAGGUGGGGACGACGUCAAGUCAUCAUGGCCCUUACGAGUAGGGCUACACACGUGCUACAAUGGCCGGUACAAAGGGUUGCGGGCUCGCGAGAGUCAGCUAAUCCCGAAAAGCCGGUCUCAGUCCGGAUCGGAGUCUGCAACUCGACUCCGUGAAGUCGGAAUCGCUAGUAAUCGUGAAUCAGAAUGUCACGGUGAAUACGUUCCCGGGCCUUGUACACACCGCCCGU
rnacentral:rRNA from 1 species